CCUACGGGCGGCAGCAGUAGGGAAUCUUUCGCAAUGGAGGAAACCCUGAUCGAGCAACGCCGCGUGAGUGAAGAAGUUUUUCGGUAUGUAAAACUCUGUCGUCAGAGAAGAACAUGACGGUACGUGAUUGAAAGUCCCCUGCUAACUACGUGCCAGCAACCGAGGGCAUACGUAGGGCGCAAGCGUGAUCCGGAUUGACUGGGGGUAAAGGGAGCGGAGACGGGAGCACAAGUCUGGAGUGAAAUGCCGGGGCUUAAACCGGGAGCGGCAUUGGAAACUGGGCCGCUAGAGUGCAGGAGAGGUGAGUGGAAUUCCAAGUGUAGCGGUGAAAUGCGUAGAUAUAAGGAGGAACACCAGUGGCGAAGGCGGCUCACUGGACUGUAACUGACGCUGAGGCUCGAAAGCGUGGGGAGCAAACAGGAUUAGAUACCCUUGUAGUC
rnacentral:rRNA from 1 species